rnacentral:misc_RNA from 1 species
GAUGAAGAACGUAGCGAAAUGCGAUACUUGGUGUGAAUUGCAGAAUCCCGUGAACCAUCGAGUCUUUGAACGCAAGUUGCGCCCGAAGCCAUUAGGCCGAGGGCACGCCUGCCUGGGCGUCACACGUCGUCGCCCCCCCAUCUACUCCUUCGGGAUUGCGGGGGGCGGAUGAUGGCCUCUCGUGCGCCUCGUCGCGCGGUUGGCCUAAAUGCCAAGUCCUCGGCGACGCACGCCACGACAAUCGGUGGUUGCGAAACCUCGGUUGCCUGUCGUGUGCGGUCGUCGCGCAUCGAGGGCUCGAAAAAAUUGCCGGGCUUCGGCUCGACUUUCAACGCGACCCCAGGUCAGGCGGGGUUACCCGCUGAAUUUAAGCAUAUCAAUAAGCGGAGGA